GACGAACGCUGGCGGCGUGCUUAACACAUGCAAGUCGAACGGAAAGGCCCUACGUGCAUGGUCCUCAAGUGGGGAACAGGUGGGUGGAACAUGGGUGCUACGCCCUCCACUUUUUGGUAGGCGUGGGCGAAUGGGAAUAUAAUCUGAUAGGCGACAGCACCGGCGGGAUGGGGGGGAAGUUUUUUCGGUGUUGGAUGAGCCCGCGGCCUAUCAGCUUGUUGGUGGGGUAAUGGCCUACCGAGGCGGCGACGGGUAGCCGGCCUGGGAGGGUGGACGGCCACAUUGGGACUGCGAUACGGCCCAGACUCCUACGGGAGGCAGCAGUGGGGAAUAUUGCACAAUGGGCGCAAGCCUGAUGCAGCGACGCCGCGUGGGGGAUGACGGCCUUCGGGUUGUAAACUCCUUUCGCUAGGGACGAAGCUGUUCUGACGGUACCUAGAUAAGAAGCACCGGCUAACUACGUG
rnacentral:rRNA from 1 species